GACGAACGCUGGCGGCGCGCUUAACACAUGCAAGUCGAGCGAUGAAAUCUUAACAGAACCCUUCGGGGUGAAGAUAAGACGGAUUAGCGGCGGACGGGUGAGUAACACGUGAGUAACCUGCCUUUUACACAGGGAUAGCCUCAGGAAACCGGGAUUAAAACCUGAUGAAACUAUCAAAUCACAUGAUUAAGAAAGUUAAAACUCCGGUGGUAAAAGAUGGACUCGCGUCCCAUUAGCUAGUUGGUGAAGGUAACGGCCCACCAAGGCAACGAUGGGUAGCCGGCCUGAGGGGGUGAACGGCAACAUUGAAAGAGGAAAACGGCCCAAACCCCUAGGGGAGGGAGCAGGGGGGAAUAUGACACAAGGGGGGAAACCCUAAGGCCGGCGCGCCGGGGGAGGGAAGAAGGCCUUGGGGUCGAAAAGCCUUUUUAAGUGGGAAGAAAAGGACGGUACCAAAAAAAAAAGCCCCGCCUAACUACGG
rnacentral:rRNA from 1 species